CCUACGGGAGGCAGCAGUAGGGAAUCUUCCGCAAUGGGCGAAAGCCUGACGGAGCAACGCCGCGUGAGUGAUGAAGGUCUUCGGAUCGUAAAACUCUGUUAUUAGGGAAGAACAUACGUGUAAGUAACUAUGCACGUCUUGACGGUACCUAAUCAGAAAGCCACGGCUAACUACGUGCCAGCAGCCGCGGUAAUACGUAGGUGGCAAGCGUUAUCCGUAUUUAUUUGGCGUAAAGCGCGCGUAGGCGGGUUUUUAAGUCUGCUGGGAAAGUCGACGGCUCAAACGUGGAAGGUCAUUGGAUACUGGAAACCUUGAGUGCAGAAGAGGAAGGUGGAAUUCGAUGUGUAGCGGUGAAAUGCGUAGAGAUAUCGAAGAACUCCGAUUGCGAAGGCGACUUUCUGGUCUGUAACUGACGCUGAUGUGCGAAAGCGUGGGGAUCAAACAGGAUUAGAUACCCUUGUAGUC
rnacentral:rRNA from 1 species